UUAUUUUAUAAAAUUUGAAUGAGAAACAGUGCAGAAAUUUAAAGAACAAUCCAGCUCAAAUCGAACCGCUGGGUUCGUCAGGAUUUAGGUAACCAGGACUAAGGAAACGUAUUAUUUAAGUUCAAAUUGAGAAUUUAAAUAAUCGAGGAAGCUUAUUAAUAUAUUUGGAGUCCAAGGAAUAAAUUUGAGAAUUUUUGGACGAAAAAGUAUAUUUUAGCCGGACUGCAAUUGGACUGCAGAAUUAAUAAAGAAAAUUCAUUAUAAAAUAAAAUAGACAUCCCGAGAUGAUAAUUUGGAGGUUAAUAUUCAUGAAAUACUAUUCGGAAAUUAAUGAGAAAGUUUAAUUUCGAAUAUUGCAAAAGUUACUUUUAUUUACGAAAUUGCCACAAUGGCAAACUUGUAAAUAAUUGAAACAUGAUUUAAUAUCUAGAUAUUUUCUCUACUUAAACUUGGUGCCCAAGUUAAUCCAUCAUCUUCUUCAUUUUGUGGGUGCCGAAUACUCCAUAGCUCCCAACACAAAACCUUAUACUUUUAUUUUCUCUCAAAACUUUCUUCACGAAAAUUGUCGGGAAUAUUGCGUAGAUCGUGUAUGUGUGUUUGCAUGUUCGUUUGAGAUUCGACAAGUUGUCGAGCUAUCGAGUCGGAGGACCAAGGGAAUUAACGGAGUUGUUUAAAGGAGCAUUGACGGAGUAAUACCGUAGUUAAACGGUUUCUGAAAGCUGGUCCGAUUUUGAUGAAGGCUUCCGAACGUUUAUUUCUCGGAAGUCUACUUUGAUAAAAGACUGUAAAGAAGGUUUUAAGUUCUAGUUGUCCGCAGUAGACUAGUAUAGUCUUAUUGUAUUUAAAUGUUUUAAAGCACAUUUAAAACUCUGAUGUUUUAUCUCAUCAGUUAUUUAAUAAAUG